GUUCCCUACGGGGGGGGGGAGCAGUGGGGAAUUUUGGACAAUGGGGGAAACCCUGAUCCAGCCAUCCCGCGUGUAUGAUGAAGGCCUUCGGGUUGUAAAGUACUUUUGGCAGAGAAGAAAAGGUAUCCCCUAAUACGGGAUACUGCUGACGGUAUCUGCAGAAUAAGCACCGGCUAACUACGUGCCAGCAGCCGCGGUAAUACGUAGGGUGCAAGCGUUAAUCGGAAUUACUGGGGCGUAAAGCGUGUGUAGGCGGUUCGGAAAGAAAAGAUGUGAAAUCCCAGGGCUCAACCUUGGAACUGCAUUUUUAACUGCCGAGCUAGAGUAUGUCAGAGGGGGGUAGAAUUCCACGUGUAGCAGUGAAAUGCGUAGAUAUGUGGAGGAAUACCGAUGGCGAAGGCAGCCCCCUGGGAUAAUACUGACGCUCAGACACGAAAGCGUGGGGAGCAAACAGGAUUAGAUACCCUGGUAGUCCACGCCCUAAACGAUGUCAACUAGCUGUUGGGGCCGUUAGGCCUUAGUAGCGCAGCUAACGCGUGAAGUUGACCGCCUGGGGAGUACGGUCGCAAGAUUAAAACUCAAGAAAAUUUGACGGAAGGG
rnacentral:rRNA from 1 species